rnacentral:rRNA from 1 species
UACGUAGGGUGCAAGCGUUGUCCGGAAUUAUUGGGCGUAAAGAGCUCGUAGGCGGUCUGUCGCGUCGGCUGUGAAAACCCGGAGCUCAACUCCGGGCCUGCAGUCGAUACGGGCAGACUGGAGUUCGGCAGGGGAGACUGGAAUUCCUGGUGUAGCGGUGAAAUGCGCAGAUAUCAGGAGGAACACCGGUGGCGAAGGCGGGUCUCUGGGCCGAUACUGACGCUGAGGAGCGAAAGCGUGGGGAG